CUGGAAACUAGCUUGUAAUGUUCAAAACAAGAUGGACAAGAUAAUCUGGCUAAAUUUAAGACAAUAAGUCUUGUUAAGGAAUUUGCAGUGUGUGAUGUGUGCCCUCUGUUCUUGCCCUGGUCUUUAUUUAUACACAAGAAGAGUAAUACAACAAUGAAUACAUUUGUUCAGUGGAAUGUUGUUACGUAAGCAUGUGGGUAUGUGGUUGUGUGUGUGUGUGGUUUGUGGGAAGCAGUGUAUAAAUAUCCAGGCUGUCGGAAAACACAAGUCACUCCUCUCCUCUGACACUCCAGACUGAAGCUUUCAUUUGCCGAUCUACACUUUUCUCGAUCUCAUCAUGGAGCCUCAUCCAAAUAGAAAAGAAUAUUUUAUAAAAUAUAAACAUUUAAAUAUCGAUGAUUUAAAAAAGGAGGCUGCUGACUUGCAGAAUGAUUACCUUAAAAACACAAAAACCUCUGAAUAUCCCAAACCAGAAUUUUAUGUGUCUCAUCUAAAACACGACACAGGCCCAAAAGCUUUACGUGAGAUAAAGGAUGAAGGCCUCAAGGAUCCAUCCAAUAAUGACAGUCUGUCCCUGGUGUGGUGGAGUCUGGCUGUGCGACCAGAAGAGAUCCAAUCAGCUGAGAGGAGGCUCCUGGAGGAGACCUUCCCAAACCGGACCAAGGAGCAGGCCCAGAGGCAGCAAAGCUUCCUGUUGAAGUUUGCCUCCUCUCCAGCCUUCAGUGAGAAGUCCAGAUAUGGAUCGUACCGCUUCACCUUCACAGUGAAUGAGGUGCUGGAGGCCUACAGACAGCAGAUUUGCAACGACAUGCAGCCCGUCAUGCGGGUCUUCAAGACCUCCUUGUACAAAAAGGAAGUGAUGUAUGUGGUGCUGGUCCACAGCCCAAAUGAUAACAACAAUAAGAUCUAUAACUUCGAACAGUAUCCCAUCCUGCCUGAUGAGCCGAACCCCAUCUGUGCUUACAAAGAUGGAUGCUUCAUCUGGAGACCACAGGCCAUGUGUGGGGAAAAAAGGUAUAUGUAUAAAAAAGACGAGGUCAACAACCUGGCAGAGGUUGAAGGGCCGUUUGGACCACCUUACUGUGUCUGGGAUCACGUCGUCCUUGCCCUGCAUGUAAAGAGCGGACAGAAACUGAAGUUUAACUCUGAUGAUCUGAGAAAGAACCUCUCAUUCUGUGAGCGUGAUGCUGUGAUAGUCAAAUCUGAAGAUUGCUUUAUUAAUUACGAGGAAGCUCAAGAGCUGGUUACUUCUCUGUGGCCACUGAAGAAGGAGGGGGAGGAGAAGGAUUCACCCAUGCAGAGUAUGGCAGGUCUCACUCUCUUGGAAAGAAAAAGACCACAAGACGAUUAAAUGGAGUCUUAAGACUCCCUGCAGCAAGACAGCAUCCUUAGUUUGAACUCUCUGGUUUCUGCCAACUUUUCUUGUUCCUUAUUUUUACGAGACCAAAUAUAAAACUUCAUGUUGGUGUGGUGAAAGCAUUGAAAGCAUGUGAAUUUCAUGUUUUAUAUUGUAAUCUUUAGUCAUGCUGAGGCUGUCUGUGGGGCAAUCUUACUUUUAUUCUCCUAUUUCUGAGUGAGUGGAGCAUCAACCUGCUGCCAGCAAAACCGCGGUGGAGGUUAUAUAGACGGAUCGUUCAGCAGGAAGGAACUCAAACUGUUUCACGUGAUUUUAAUAGUUGAUUUAAGGUUCAUUUAAUGAACUUCGUGUGGUCACUAAAUGCACAGUAAAAGACAAAUGAUGACACAAACAUGAUAAUAUGAGAAACGUGUGAUCAUGUGUUUUACUGCAGUCUGUCCUGUCUGGGUGUGAUGUGUUCAAGUACCUGAAUUAAAAAGAAAUUACUUUGUACACAUAAAAACUGGACAAUAAAGUUGAUUUGAAACAGUUUUAUGUUUUUAAUUUUCAUUGGAUUCUCUCAGAAAAUCUAAAAAAGUAGACAUAUUAAUACAUUCAUCUGUCGCUCUGCAUGUGGAGAGCACACACACAUACACAGAGAGAGAGAGAGAGAGAGAGAGAGAGAGAGAGAGAGAGAGAGAGACAAACUCAUAGUAUGAAUUCUGUUUAACACAGUUUUAAAUGUUUUAGUUGUUCAUUCGAUAUUAUUAGUAUGACAGAGAUGGCGGGCAGCAAUGUAGAGAUCUUCAUAACCAAUUUGGCUGAAACUGUGUUAUCGAAUAUGUGUUUAGAUGUAUUUUACAUUCUUAUAAUAACCUUAUUAGGAUCAAGUUCAUCAUCACACCAGAUUUGAAAGAGGACAUCGUGACUAUACCGAGCCGGGUCACCGCUGUAGACAAUCCGUCAAAGGAGGAGCAAGAGAGAGUUGUAGCAUCCCGAGCUCUCCGUCCUAUCAUACGCAAUCCUCGUGGGCUGCAGGUCAUGAGACUCCAAGCAGGAAGAGGAGCCCGGCAACGAAGGAAUUUCCAUAAGAGGGAGGUCCUGCGAAUGCUCUCCAGCAUGUACUCCACAACCCUUUUGGCCUAUGUAUCAAUAGCAAACAGCAGGGAUUUGUAAUGUGUGGGGAAUAAAAAAUAAAAAAAUCAUGUCAAACCAGCACUGUAUUCCAGAUCUUUGUUGGACGCCUUUAGAAAACGCUCUCCAGGUCCUCCUUCAAAACCUUAAACGAUCGGCUUGUGUGGCAGCGGUACCCUGACCCGCUGGAGCCGAUAGAAAGUGCUCUUCAACUAUGGCCAGAACGAGCCUGACCGGCAUGAGUAAAUGAAGGGUGUCUUCAAAAGAAUACCGCGGUCAAGUGAGCCCUCACUUACGAAGUCACAGUCAAGCUAGCCGCCCCGCCAGCCGCACCUAAAAUGUGGUUGCACUACUCUUACG
ensembl:lncRNA